CCUACUGCUAACCGAGUGGACAUAAAUGACAUUCGUGGACCCUCUUAUCAGUACUUUAACAUAGAUGUCAUUGAUUGGCAAGCUGAUAUAGAGGAGUGCUUGACUUGGAUGUGAAAGGCAUCAGAUAGUAGCUGGUAGACGACACUGCAUGAAUCAACCAAAAGAAAUCAAAUCAGCAUGUGCAUGGUGUGGAUUUCAUCUAGCAUGGGUCAUCCCAAUA
rnacentral:misc_RNA from 1 species